AUUGAACGCUGGCGGCAUGCCUUACACAUGCAAGUCGAACGGUAACGGGCCUUCGGGUGCCGACGAGUGGCGAACGGGUGAGUAAUGUAUCGGAACGUACCUUUCAGUGGGGGAUAACGUAGCGAAAGUUACGCUAAUACCGCAUAUUCUGUGAGCAGGAAAGCAGGGGAUCGCAAGACCUUGCGCUGAUUGAGCGGCCGAUAUCAGAUUAGCUAGUUGGUGAGGUAAAGGCUCACCAAGGCUACGAUCUGUAGCGGGUCUGAGAGGAUGAUCCGCCACACUGGAACUGAGACACGGUCCAGACUCCUACGGGAGGCAGCAGUGGGGAAUUUUGGACAAUGGGGGCAACCCUGAUCCAGCCAUGCCGCGUGAGUGAAGAAGGCCUUUGGGUUGUAAAGCUCUUUCGGCCGGGAAGAAAUCGUAUCAGCUAAUACCUGGUGCGGAUGACGGUACCGGCAUAAGAAGCACCGGCUAACUACGUGCCAGCCGCCGCAGUAAGAC
rnacentral:rRNA from 1 species